AGAGUGUAUUAAGAGCAGUGGGCCUGUAGAACGGCUCUUUUGUUUACAACAUACCCAUACAGGAAUCGGAGGUCAUUGUGAUGAGGAGCACAAAACUUGUGGCCUUCCUACAAACAAAUGCCUGGCCUGU
rnacentral:snoRNA from 1 species